rnacentral:rRNA from 1 species
AGCGAACGCUGGCGGCAGGCCUAACACAUGCAAGUCGAACGAACUCUUCGGAGUUAGUGGCGGACGGGUGAGUAACACGUGGGAACGUGCCUUUUGGUUCGGAAUAACUCAGGGAAACUUGUGCUAAUACCGAAUGUGCCCUUCGGGGGAAAGAUUUAUCGCCAUUAGAGCGGCCCGCGUCUGAUUAGCUAGUUGGUGAGGUAACGGCUCACCAAGGCGACGAUCAGUAGCUGGUCUGAGAGGAUGACCAGCCACACUGGGACUGAGACACGGCCCAGACUCCUACGGGAGGCAGCAGUGGGGAAUCUUGCGCAAUGGGCGAAAGCCUGACGCAGCCAUGCCGCGUGAAUGAUGAAGGUCUUAGGACUGUAAAAUUCUUUCACCGGGGACGAUAGUGACGGUACCCGGAGAAGAAGCCCCGGCUAACUUCGUG